CUAGAUAAAUGUGGUUGAGUAUGUUACACAGAGCUGGAAGGAGCUGUCAGAUGCCAGUCUCGGGGCAGCUUUGGACCAGCCACCUACGUGUAGAGAUCCCUGAGCACCAUGGCCCCUUCCCUCUCCUCACGUCCUGCUGAGGCUCUGUCUGAGUAAAGUGAUGCAGGACCAUUAUUGCUACACCUACAGCAACAACAAUCUGGAAUACAACAUCUUCUGAUGGAUAAAGAAUCCUCUGAUGGAUGAAGAAGGAACAAUGAUUGCU